CUGAGCACCACCAGGGCAGCCACCAGCUGCAGGACCACAGCUGAUAACCUCUCAACUUUGGCCCAGCCACCCCGACUGGGGGAGGGCGGUAGGAGCGGAAAGCGAGUGCCCAGGCGAACCCGCACUAAGCACAGGAGAGGAGGAGCGAAGAGGCGGAGUCCUCACUGUUGUUGGGGUUUUCUGACCCGGGGCGCCUCCCCAGCAGCCCCCACCUUCUCUCCCGCCCCUCCCGUAGCCCUGGGGCCUCUUGGUUCCUUCCGGGCUCACCGUGUGGGGCCGAAGAUCAACGGCCCGGGAACGGUUCCCGGGAGCGGG
rnacentral:lncRNA from 1 species